GACGAACGCUGGCGGCGUGCUUAACACAUGCAAGUCGAACGGAAAGGCCCUGCUUUUGUGGUGUGCUCGAGUGGCGAACGGGUGUGUAACACGUGUGUAACCUGCCCUUGACUUUGGUAUAACUUCGGGAAACUGGGGCUAAUACCGGAUAGGAGCUCCUUCUGCGUGGUGGGGGUGGGAAAGUCUGGGCGGUGGGGGGUGGACUCGCGUCUUAUCCGCUUGUUGGUGGGGUAGGGGCUUACCAAGGCUUUGACGGGUACCCGGCCUGAGAGGGUGACGGGCCCAAUGGGGACGGAGAUACGGCCCAGCCUCCUACGGGGGGCAGCGGUGGGAAAUAUUGAACAAUGGGCGGAAGCCUGAUGCAGAAAGGCCGCGUGGGGGAUAACGGCCUUCGGUUUGUAAACCGCUUUCGCCUGGGACGAAGCGUGAGUGACGGUAAUGGGUAAAGAAGCACCGGCUAACUACGUG
rnacentral:rRNA from 1 species